ensembl:lncRNA
GUGGGAACAUUUCCUCUUUAUUGGCAUAUUGGCGCUGCUGAAGACUUUGAGAAACAAUGGUGUCUGGUGUGGUUCUCAACACUUUAAGAGGAAUGUAGCGAAACUGGAGAGAGUCCAGCAAAGAGUAACAAACGUGAUAAAAGAGUAGGAAAACAGAACCUGAGAGGAAAGGUUAAUAACUAGGAUUGUGUAGGCUGAAGGAGCAAGAGGGCUAAAGGGUGAGUUAAUAUCUGUUUAAACAUAUGCCUGGCUAUUAUAAUGAGCAAGCUGACUAGCUGUUCCACACGAACCUAAUAAGAGAAUGGGGGGGAGGGGCAUUUACACUGCAGCCUUAGGUUUGUGUUAGAUAUAAAGAAAUAUUUGGUGGGAAUAGAAGAAGUUGUUUUACACAAAAGCACUCUUAAAAAGGGGUUUGUGCAGCAGCUUUUCUUCGAGAGAUGGAGGACUGCAAUGCAAUGGGCAUUUGCUUGAUGUUCCAGUUAGUCGGAGUUGACAAGACUGAGCCAGUCAUGGAGGAAAAGGCACCCAAGAUGUUAACCACAUUCUUGGAUUCCUGGGCACCCUCCAGUUUCUGACCUUGUUCUCCUAAACUCCAGCCUGCAACUCUCUGUGAAAAUGCAAAUAGCAAAAUGGGGAUAAUGUGUACUGUGACAUGGAGUAACAGGGGAUGCAUUUCCUUCAGUGGUGUCUUCACUUGGAGAAGCCUCAAUGCCGUCAAGAAGAGGAUGCCCACCAGGAAACUGCAAAUUCCAUGCUCUCAUGCUUUCUGACUUCUGCAUAGUUUCAUCCAAGGGGAAGCAGUUUUACAGAAUUCAGUGAUGUGAGUUACUGAAGGGCCUGAGUAUUGCUCCUCUGUUCUCUCUUUUUUAAGUAACACGUCUGGCUGGGGCUCCUCCGUGGUUCCAACCUGCAUCAGCCAGCCAUUUCCUCCACGGUCUCAACUCUGGCAAGACACUUCCCGUUGGUUUUGCAUUCUUGCUAGAUGGUCCCUCUUCUUGGCUCUGGUCUUACCACAUUAUGCUGUUGUCCCUCUAGCCCCAGGGGUAGCAGCUCCCAGUUUUUGCCCAUCUCUUAGUUGCCUCACCAUCUCUUACAUGGCUCCUCAUUUCUCCUAUUAGCUAUGUACCCAAUUCACUGUAUUAAAUUCCUCCACUGUAAAAGACCAAGAUUAGUUUCUGUUUCCUGGCUGGACCUGGACUGAUACUGAUGAAAAAAUAUGUUAAAGAUUAUGAGUGUUCUGUAAAUGUAGAGUAUUAGUACCAUAGUCAUCUUAAUGAUUGUCAUAUGUUCCAAAGGUGAUAUAUUUAGUAAAUCUGCCAUUUUGGCACUCUCCCAUUAUUAUCUCCCUUCAUGGGCAUGGGUAAUCAAUUAUCUAUGUUAUGAAUAUAUCCAUGAAAUUAUAUGUAGAGGGAUGGAAUAUUAUGUUUUGUUUCUGUUUUAUAUAUAUGUAUCUCUAUUAAUGGAAAAAUGCAGAAUUAGAAUGGGAGUAUUUCGGAAUGUGUUUGGAUGUCACUUCAAAUUUAUUUCAGUGUGGAGCAGAGGGAAUGGUGGCAAUUUCCUUUUAGCUACCUUUCCUAUUUCAUCUCCUGACUUUUGUUAAAGAAUGUAUCAAUCCUCAGGGAGAGACUUAUAAAAGCAAACAAAAGAAAGCAUUAGAAAGAAAUACUGAAAUGGCUUAUUUUGUCCAGAAGCAAACUUCUGACAACGUUCUAUGACUUACCCAUGUACCAUCAUCUAUCAUCUAUUUACCUACUUACUUGGAGAAGUCAGAAGUUAACUGCUUGUCAUGGGCAUGAAUAUUAACAUAUUUAUUUGUAUUGAAAAAUAAAGUCAAAUUGUUGUGCUGGAAAUUAAAUCUGGCUUGACUGAUUGGUUUGAAAAUGAAUACUGGCUCUAAUUCAUGCCAAUCAGGUCAUAUGGUGGGCAUUUUCCAUAAGCUGAAUGAACUAAAUCGAGAGCUCCCAGCUUUUUGAUGAAAUUGUAUUUAAAGCAGGUGACAACAUAAAAGUAUUUUAAAAGUUUUUUCUAACUUUGUAUUUAUCAGUUUAAGCAAGUUGCCUCUAAGUGGAAGAAACACAGGUCUAAUUAACAGUUUUUUAACAAGUCUUGGUAAAGUCUUUCCUGCAACAGAGAAAGUAAAAGAUUCUAAUGACAGAAUGGCAUGCAUUUAUUGACUCAUUUGUUGCAUUCUACAAAAUUGAAGACCUAAUUGAAUUGUCAGCUGAUAGAUUAUUAAAACUGAUGAUAGAUCACAAUGUGAUUUUUUUAUAUGGACCUCAGAAAAUAUUUGAAGAAUUGAAUAGUGUUGCCAUGACAAAACUUCUUCUAUUGACAUCUCUUUGUUUAUAGGAACAAAUUUUCUCAGCAGAUACAUUUUUAAAGCAAAC